rnacentral:rRNA from 1 species
GGGGGUUACGGGGAUGCGGGUAAUCGGGGGACCUCCCACCCGUGUUGCCCGAACCUAUGUUGCCUCGGCGGGCCCCGCGCCCGCCGACGGCCCCCCUGAACGCUGUCUGAAGUUGCAGUCUGAGACCUAUAACGAAAUUAGUUAAAACUUUCAACAACGGAUCUCUUGGUUCCGGCAUCGAUGAAGAACGCAGCGAAAUGCGAUAACUAAUGUGAAUUGCAGAAUUCAGUGAAUCAUCGAGUCUUUGAACGCACAUUGCGCCCUCUGGUAUUCCGGAGGGCAUGCCUGUCCGAGCGUCAUUGCUGCCCUCAAGCCCGGCUUGUGUGUUGGGCCCCGUCCCCCCCGCCGGGGGGACGGGCCCGAAAGGCAGCGGCGGCACCGCGUCCGGUCCUCGAGCGUAUGGGGCUUCGUCACCCGCUCUAGUAGGCCCGGCCGGCGCCAGCCGACCCCCAACCUUUAAUUAUCUCAGGUUGACCUCGGAUCAGGUAGGGAUACCCGCUGAACUUAAGCAUAUCAAAAAGCGGGAGGAA